GAGAGAAACAGAGAAAGAAGAGAGAGAAGAGAGAGAAGAGAGAGAAGAGAGAGAAGAUAGAGAAGAGAGAGAGAGGGAGUGAAACAGAGAGAGAGAAGAGAGAGAAGAGAGAGGGAGUGAAACAGAGAAAGAGAAGAGAGAGAAGAGAGAGAGAGAGUGAAACAGAGAAAGAGAAGAGAGAGAAGAGAGAGAGAGAAGAAGGGAUAGAAACAGAGAAAGAGAAGAGAGAGAAGAGAGAGAAGAGAGAGAGAGGGAGUGAAACAGAGAAAGAAGAGAGAGAGAGAGAGGGAGAGAGAAACAGAGAGAGAGAAGAGAGAGAA
ensembl:lncRNA